GCCUGGGUGGCUCAGUCGGUUAAGCUUCUGACUUCGGCUCAGGUCACGAUCUCCCGGCUCAUGGGUUCGAGCCCCACGUCAGGCU
rnacentral:tRNA from 1 species